UAGGGUUCGAUUCUGGCUCAGGAUGAACGCUAGCGGGAGGCUUAACACAUGCAAGUCGAGGGGUAAAUGGCAGCAAUGCUAUGAGACCGGCGGACGGGUGCGUAACGCGUAUGCAACAUACCUUGUGCAGGGGGAUAGCCCGUGGAAACGCGGAUUAAUAUUCCAUAGUCCAGCUAUAUCGCAUGGUAUAGUUGGUAAAGAUUUAUCGGCACAAGUUUGGCAUGCGUCUGAUUAGCUUGUUGGUAGGGUAACGGCCUACCAAGGCUACGAUCAGUAGGGGUUCUGAGAGGAUUAACCCCCACACUGGUACUGAGACACGGACCAGACUCCUACGGGAGGCAGCAGUGAGGAAUAUUGGUCAAUGGGCGGAAGCCUGAACCAGCCAUCCCGCGUGAAGGAAGACAGCCUUACGGGUUGUAAACUUCUUUUCUGUCAGAAGAAUAAGCUUGUCGAGACGAGUGAUGCCGGUAUGACAGGAAUAAGCAUCGGCUAACUCCGUGCCAGCAGCCGCGGUAAUACGGAGGAUGCAAGCGUUAUCCGGAUUUAUUGGGUUUAAAGGGUGCGCAGGUUGUUUGAUAAGUCAGUGGUGAAAGUCUGUCGCUUAACGGUAGGAUUGCCAUUGAUACUGUUGGACUUGAAUAUGGAUGAGGUAGGCGGAAUGUGUAGUGUAGCGGUGAAAUGCAUAGAUAUUACACAGAACACCGAUUGCGAAGGCAGCUUACUAAUCCAUCAUUGAC
rnacentral:rRNA from 1 species